rnacentral:RNase_P_RNA from 1 species
GGAGUCGGCCGGGCAGUCGCUCCGCUUCGGCGGGGAGGAAAGUCCGGGCUCCGCAGGGUGGGAUGCCAGGUAACGCCUGGGCGGCGCGAGCCGACGGAAAGUGCCACAGAAAACGUACCGCCGAUGGCCUUCGGGAUCAGGUAAGGGUGAAAAGGUGCGGUAAGAGCGCACCGCGCGGGUGGUAACAUGCCGCGGCACGGUAAACCCCAUCCGGAGCAAGACCAAAUAGGGACGCAAUGGCGUGACCCGCGCUGCGUCCGGGUAGGUUGCUAGAGGUGCGUGGCGACGCGCAUCCCAGAUGAAUGACUGUCCUCGACAGAACCCGGCUUACAGGCCGGCUCCCUCC